rnacentral:rRNA from 1 species
GACAGAGGUGCCAAGCGUUAGGCGGAAUCACUGGGCUUAAAGCGUGUGUAGGCGGAAUGGUAAGUACCUUGUGAAAUCCCACGGCUCAACCGUGGAACUGCUUGGUAUACUGCUUUUCUUGAGCCACUUAGGGGCAACCGGAACAAACGGUGGAGCGGUGAAAUGCGUAGAUAUCGCUUGGAACGCCGAAGGUGAAAACAGGCUGCUGGGGUUGCGCCGACGCUGAGACACGAAAGCCAGGGGAGCAAACGGG